GUCCUCGUAGCUCAGCGGAUAGAGCGGUCGCCUCCUAAGCGACAGGCCGCGGGUUCGACUCUCGCCGAGGACACCA
rnacentral:tRNA from 1 species